rnacentral:rRNA from 1 species
AGUGAACGCUGGCGGUAGGCCUAACACAUGCAAGUCGAACGGCAGCACAGUAAGAGCUUGCUCUUACGGGUGGCGAGUGGCGGACGAGUGAGGAAUACAUCGGAAUCUACUUUUUCGUGGGGGAUAACGUAGGGAAACUUACGCUAAUACCGCAUACGACCUACGGGUGAAAGCAGGGGAUUUUCGGACCUUGCUCGAUUGAAUGAGCCGAUGUCGGAUUAGCUAGUUGGCGGGGUAAAGGCCCACCAAGGCGACGAUCCGUAGCUGGUCUGAGAGGAUGAUCAGCCACACUGGAACUGAGACACGGUCCAGACUCCUAUGGGAGGCAGCAGUGGGGAAUAUUGGACAAUGGGCGCAAGCCUGAUCCAGCCAUACCGCGUGGGUGAAGAAGGCCUUCGGGUUGUAAAGCCCUUUUGUUGGGAAAGAAAAGCAGCAGGUUAAUACCCCGCUGUUCUGACGGUACCCAAAGAAUAAGCACCGGCUAACUUCGUG